AUUGAACGCUGGCGGCAGGCCUAACACAUGCAAGUCGAGCGGAGCGACGGACGGGUGAGUCAUGCCUAGGAAUCUGCCUGGUCGUGGGGGAUAACGUCCGGACACGGACGCUAAUACCGCAUACUCUCAAUUGAUCCUAGAUCGGAUUAGCUAGUUGGUGGGGUAAAGGCCUACCAAGGCGACGAACCGUAACUGGUCUGAGAGGAUGAUCAGUCACACUGGAACUGAGACACGGUCCAGACUCCUACGGGAGGCAGCAGUGGGGAAUAUUGGACAAUGGGCGAAAGCCUGAUCCAGCCAGGCCGCGUGUGUGAAGAAGGUCUUCGGAUUGUAAAGCACUUUAAGUUGGGAGGCGUUACCAACAGAAUAAGCACCGGCUAACUUCGUGCCAGCAGCCGCGGUAAUUC
rnacentral:rRNA from 1 species